rnacentral:misc_RNA from 1 species
GUGAAUCAUCAAAUUUUUGAACGCAUAUUGCACUCUCUGGUAUUCUGGAGGGUAUGCCUAUUUGAGGGUCAUUUGAAAUAAUAUAAAUUUCUAGAUUUUCGUGAAAUGAAUAAUGGGUCGGUCCGGCUGUUGUGUGGUUGUCGCUUAAAAUGCAAGACAAGCUCAUUUCUGGGGUUGCGUUAUACUUUCAGUUACCUCGUGACUUCUCAUGAUAUCUUCGUGCGUGUUAAGAAUUUUGCAAGAAGUAAACUUCAUUUAUCUUGAGCUCAAUAUUAAAUCUAAUCAUGACCUAUAAUUAG